AGUGAACGCUGGCGGUAGGCCUAACACAUGCAAGUCGAACGGCAGCACAGUAAGAGCUUGCUCUUACGGGUGGCGAGUGGCGGACGGGUGAGGAAUACAUCGGAAUCUACUUUUUCGUGGGGGAUAACGUAGGGAAACUUACGCUAAUACCGCAUACGACCUACGGGUGAAAGCAGGGGAUCUUCGGACCUUGCGCGAUUGAAUGAGCCGAUGUCGGAUUAGCUAGUUGGCGGGGUAAAGGCCCACCCAGGCGACGAUCCGUAGCUGGUCUGAGAGGAUGAUCAGCCACACGGGAACGGAGACACGGUCAAGAGUCCUACGGGAGGCAGCAGUGGGGAAUAUUGGACAAUGGGGGAAAGCCUGAUCCAGCCAUACCGCGUGGGAGAAGAAGGCCUUCGGGUUGUAAAGCCCUUUUGUUGGGAAAGAAAAGCAGCAGGUUAAUACCACGCUGUUCUGACGGUACCCAAAGAAUAAGCACCGGCUAACUUCGUG
rnacentral:rRNA from 1 species